rnacentral:rRNA from 1 species
GGACUACCAGGGUUUCUAAUCCGUUUUGCUCCCCACGCUUUCAUGCCUCAAUGUCAGUAGCAGAAUAGUUAACUGCCUUCGCUAUAUUGAUGUUCUUUCAUAUAUCUACGCAUUUUACCGCUCCACAUGAAGUUCCGUUAACCUCUCCUGCACUCAAGUUCAACAGUAUUACUAACUUCCACGAGGUUGGGCCUCGAUUUCCCACCAGUAACUUACUGAACCAUCUACGCAUCCUUUACGCCCAAUAAUUCCGGAUAACGUUUGCGACCUAUGUCUUACCGCGGCGGCUGGCAC